UUAAAUUGAAGAGUUUGAUCAUGGCUCAGAUUGAACGCUGGCGGCAGGCCUAACACAUGCAAGUCGAGCGGAAACGAGUUAACUGAACCUUCGGGGGACGAUAACGGCGUCGAGCGGCGGACGGGUGAGUAA
rnacentral:rRNA from 1 species